GCGCCCGUAGCUCAACCGGAUAGAGCACCUGCCUUCUAAGCUGGUGGUUGCAGGUUCGAGUCCUGCCGGGCGCGCCA
rnacentral:tRNA from 1 species